rnacentral:rRNA from 1 species
UUGGUUAAGUUAGAAAGGGCGCACGGUGGAUGCCUUGGCACUAGGAGCCGAAGAAGGACGGGACUAACACCGAUAUGCUUUGGGGAGCUGUACGUAAGCGUUGAUCCAGAGAUUUCCGAAUGGGGGAACCCACUAUCUUUAGUCGGAUAGUAUCCUUACGUGAAUACAUAGCGUAAGGAAGGCAGACCCAGGGAACUGAAACAUCUAAGUACCUGGAGGAAGAGAAAGAAAAAUCGAUUUCCUGAGUAGCGGCGAGCGAAACGGAAAGAGCCCAAACCAAGAAGCUUGCUUCUUGGGGUUGUAGGACACUCUAUACGGAGUUACAAAAGAAAGUUAUAAAUGAAGCGGUCUGGAAAGGCCCGCCAAAGACGGUAACAGCCCGGUAGUUGAAAUGGCUUUCCCUCCAGAGUGGAUCCUGAGUACGGCGGAACACGUGAAAUUCCGUCGGAAUCCGGGAGGACCAUCUCCCAAGGCUAAAUACUCCCUAGUGACCGAUAGUGAACCAGUACCGUGAGGGAAAGGUGAAAAGCACCCCGGAAGGGGAGUGAAACAGUUCCUGAAACCGUGUGCCUACAAGUAGUUAGAGCCCGUUAAUGGGUGAUAGCGUGCCUUUUGUAGAAUGAACCGGCGAGUUACGAUUUGUUGCAAGGUUAAGCGGAAAAAGCGGAGCCGUAGCGAAAGCGAGUCUGAAUAGGGCGCAUAAGUAACAGGUCGUAGACCCGAAACCAGGUGAUCUACCCAUGUCCAGGAUGAAGGUAAGGUAAUACUUACUGGAGGUCCGAACCCACGCACGUUGAAAAGUGCGGGGAUGAGGUGUGGGUAGCGGAGAAAUUCCAAUCGAACUUGGAGAUAGCUGGUUCUCUCCGAAAUAGCUUUAGGGCUAGCCUCGAGGUAAAGAGUCAUGGAGGUAGAGCACUGUUUGGACUAGGGGCCCUUCUCGGGUUACCGAAUUCAGAUAAACUCCGAAUGCCAUGUACUUAUACUCGGGAGUCAGACUGCGAGUGAUAAGAUCCGUAGUCGAAAGGGAAACAGCCCAGACCACCAGUUAAGGUCCCCAAAUAUAUGUUAAGUGGAAAAGGAUGUGGGGUUGCUUAGACAACCAGGAUGUUGGCUUAGAAGCAGCCACCAUUGAAAGAGUGCGUAAUAGCUCACUGGUCGAGUGACCCCGCGCCGAAAAUGUACCGGGGCUAAACAUAUUACCGAAACUGUGGAUGAACCUCUUUAGAGGUUCGUGGUAGGAGAGCGUUCUAAGGGCGGUGAAGUCAGACCGGAAGGACUGGUGGAGCGCUUAGAAGUGAGAAUGCCGGUAUGAGUAGCGAAAGAAGGGUGAGAAUCCCUUCCACCGAAUAUCUAAGGUUUCCUGAGGAAGGCUCGUCCGCUCAGGGUUAGUCGGGACCUAAGCCGAGGCCGAUAGGCGUAGGCGAUGGACAACAGGUAGAGAUUCCUGUACCAGUGCUAAUUGUUUAACCGAUGGGGUGACACAGAAGGAUAGGGAAUCGCACGAAUGGAAAUGUGCGUCCAAGCAGUGAGUGUGAG